rnacentral:lncRNA from 1 species
AAAAAAGUGCAUUUUCUGAAGAAUUCUGUAUGGAAUUUUCCUAUUUUGUAUUUUAGCCGGAAAAAACGUACGGUGACCCUAUCUUUUCUUUUGGUAUUCUCAAAGCAGUGUCUAAAAGCUAUCUUUUCCUGAAGUAUUUAACAAUUCUAUCAUUUUGUUUAGUUUCUAAUCACAAAAUGGGGUUUUUUUCCUGUAUAAUCCAUACAAAAUGUGUC